AUGAGAAGAGAACCAACCGUCUUAAAUGGCAGAACUCCUCCCGACCUCCCAACCGAUGUGGGAUUGCUUUCACAACACUCCCCCUUAAUCCCACAUACGAGGUCUUCAGGACCUGAAUGGGCCACCAAGAAAGGAGCGAGUCCAUAUUGUCCGUUUUGGGCUUUAGGCACGCACAAUUUUAAAACGCGUCAAACCGCCCCGCCGGGGGGGGGGGGGGGGGGGGGGAUGUGGAACCGAAUUCUCUCUCCAUUGUAGCCUACAUCUGCAUGUAUCGUGCCCUCUUCUGCAUCAACGCCGGCCUCGCCAGCCUCCUCGUCUCCGUGAGACUUGCAUUGGGAGGGAAGAGCGUUAGGGGCGCAUCGUUCUUUAUUCGAGCUUUUGUAUUAUCAUCGCCGCCGCAGAAUUUCAGACAUUGCUAACGCCCUUGUCGCGAAUGCGGUGCUAGCUGCGAGCCUGUGAUCAGUAGUCCCCUCCAACACACCAACUCAAACUUAUACUAGAGUUGCUGCUACGGGUAUUAGUUUUGCUUUAGAAUCUUAAUAUUAUAAAUCGUGUUAUUGGAAAUGUCAUUCUCAGUCAACUACAAUUCGCCCCCUCUAUCGCUGGAAUUUUUGCUUAAUUGUUAUUCUGAAGCUUAUAUAUUUGAGGAUGUUUGGGAAUAUGAAUGGAGAUAGUGGUUCAUGAAUUUAUAAC